CGUGUUCGCCUGGCGCAAGAUGGACGGUGUGGAGGCGCGCGGAGCUGCUGGUGCCCGCCGUCGCGUCCGGAUUCAUACGGGAUAUGGACCUUCCCGUCCUCGUUGCUCUCUCUUCUCUUGCCAAGCGGCGGCAGGCCUAGAUAGCCACGGAUCCGAGUUCAGUUGGUAACGUGCAGCAUGUACACGAGCGUAUCCUUUGAGGUGGACGAAAUAGGAUACUGGCAUGUUAUCCUUUCAGGAUGUCACCAACCAUUUUGUUCCGUACCAAGGGGAAUAUGCAAGAGAGCAAAUUAGGUCCCCAAUCGAAAACAAACAAGACUUAAGCCGGGUUAUUACAUAAGAAAAGGCCCUCCUCGAUCGGUUCGAUGUCCUCCGCUGUACAAUCUUGCAAUUCAUCUCACUCAAUUCUGAAUCCAAAAUCUCA